rnacentral:rRNA from 1 species
GUAGGUGGCGAGCGUUGUCCGGAUUUACUGGGCGUAAAGAGCGCGCAGGCGGCUGGUCAAGUCCGAUGUGAAAGCUCCCGGCUUAACUGGGAAAUUGCAUCGGAAACUGAUCGGCUGGAAGGUGGGAGAGGGUAGCGGAAUUCCCGGUGUAGUGGUGAAAUGCGUAGAUAUCGGGAGGAACACCAGUGGCGAAAGCGGCUACCUGGCCCAUUCUUGACGCUGAGGCGCGAAAGCUAGGGGAGCAAACGGGAUUAGAUACCCCGGUAGUCCUAGCCGUAAACGAUGAACACUAGGCGUAGUCGGUAUCGACCCCGGCUGUGCCGUAGCUAACGCAUUAAGUGUUCCGCCUGGGGAGUACGGCCGCAAGGCUA